GAGUUUGAUCGUGGCUCAGGACGAACGCUGGCGGCGUGCUUAACACAUGCAAGUCGAACGAGAAUCUACUGAAAGAGUUUUCGGACAAUGGAAGUAGAGGAAAGUGGCGGACGGGUGAGUAACGCGUGAGGAACCUGCCUUGAAGAGGGGGACAACAGUUGGAAACGACUGCUAAUAACCGCCAUGAUGCAUAAGGGUCGGCAUGAUUCUUA
rnacentral:rRNA from 1 species